ensembl:misc_RNA 7SK 7SK RNA
GGAUGUGAGGGCGAUCUGGCUGCGACAUCUGUCACCCCAUUGAUCGCCAGGGUUGAUUCGGCUGAUCUGGCUGGCUAGUCGGGUGUCCCCUUCCUCCCUCACCGCUCCAUGUGCGUCCCUCCCGAAGCUGCGCGCUCGGUCGAAGAGGACGGCCUUCCCCGAAUAGAGAUGGACCGGUCUUCGGUCGAGGGUAUACGAGUAGCUGCGCUCCCCUGCUAGAACCUCCAAACAAGCUCUCAAAGAAGUAUCUUGUGGCAUUGUAUCAUAUUUUAAAAGAUGGUCCUCACUUCAACAUUAAAGAGUUUUAUGU